rnacentral:rRNA from 1 species
AGAGCACAGGGGGAAUGCCCUGGCACUGAGAGCCGAAGAAGGACGUGACAAGCUGCGAAAAGCCGCGGGUAGGCGCAAAUAGCCGAAGAACCGUGGAUGUCCGAAUGGGGAAACCCGGCAACCAGGAAACGGUUGUCACCGUUAAGUGAAUCCAUAGCUUAACGGGGGGAGACGAGGGGAACUGAAACAUCUAAGUACCCUCAGGAAGAGAAAACAAAAGUGAUUCCGCAAGUAGUGGCGAGCGAACGCGGAAGAGCCCAAACCGCCCUGCAGAAAUGGAGAGCGGGGUAAGGACCAGCGGAAUUGAGAGAGGAACGAGGAGAAGAGCGGAUUGAAAGCCGCCGCCGAAGAGGGUGAUAGCCCCGUAACCGAAGGGAAUCGAACAAGGCUGGAGUCCGGAGUACCACGAGACACGAGGAAUCUAGUGGGAAAGAGGGAGGACCACCUCCCAAGGCUAAAUACUACUCAGUGACCGAUAGAGGAAAGUACCGUGAGGGAAAGGUGAAAAGAACCCCGGGAGGGGAGUGAAAGAGAAUCUGAAACCCUGUGUUUACAAGCAGUCAGAGGGCAUUAAAGCCCGAUGGCGUACUUUUUGUAGAACGGUCCGGCGAGUUAUUGUACGUGGCGAGGUUAAGUACUAAAGGUACGGAGCCGAAGCGAAAGCGAGUCUGAAUAGGGCGCGAAGUCACGUGUAAUAGACCCGAAACCGGGUGACCUACCCAUGGACAGGUUGAAGCCUGAGUAAAAUCAGGUGGAGGACCGAACAGGUGUCUGUUGAAAAAGGCUCUGAUGAGCUGUGGGUAGCGGAGAAAUUCCAAACGAACUCGGAGAUAGCUGGUUCUCCCCGAAAUAGCUUUAGGGCUAGCCUCGGAUUAUUCUAAUGGAGGUAAAGCACUGAAUGGGCUAGGGGCCUUACCAGGUUACCGAACCCUAUCAAACUAAGAAUGCCAUAUAGAAGAUGUCCGGGAGUCAGACUGCGAGAGAUAAGUCCCGUAGUCGAAAGGGAAACAGCCCAGACCGCCAGCUAAGGUCCCAAAGUGAUGGUUAAGUGGAAAAGGAUGUGGGUUUGCUAAGACAGCUAGGAUGUUGGCUUAGAAGCAGCCACUCAUUCAAAGAGUGCGUAAUAGCUCACUAGUCGAGUGAGCCUGCGCCGAAGAUGUACGGGGCUAAACCAUCCACCGAAGCUGCGGAAUGUCGAAUGACAUUGGUAGGGGAGCGUAGUGUAGUAGAGAGAAGCAUGACGGGAACGACAUGUGGACGAGGCAGUAGUGAGAAUGCCGGAAUGAGUAGCGAGAGUGAAGUGAGAAUCUUUACCGUCGAAAACCCAAGGUUUCCUGGGGAAGGUUCGUCCGCCCAGGGUAAGUCGGGGCCUAAGCUGAGGCCGAGAGGCGUAGGUGAUGGAUAACAGGCGGAAAUUCCUGUACCGACGGUACACGUAUAAGAGAAGCGGGGACACAGGAGGAUAAGUGGAUCCGGCAGCAGGGAAAGCCGGAGUAAAGGAAGUAGAUAGAGACGUAGUGAAGUACGCGUCUUGUUUCGAAGGCCUGACGCGGAGCUCAAAUGGGAGCGAAGCCACAGAUUCCACACUGGCGAGAAAAGCCGCUAUUUAGUGUACAGUCGCCCGUACCGUAAACCGACACAGGUAGGUGAGGAGAGAAUCCUGAGACGAUCGGGAGAAGUGUUGUUAAGGAACUCGGCAAAUUAACCCCGUAAGUUAGCGAUAAGGGGAGCCUAGAGAUAGGCCGCAGAGAAAUGGCCCAAGCAACUGUUUACCAAAAACACAGGUCUCUGCUAAAUCGAAAGAUGAAGUAUAGGGGCUGACGCCUGCCCGGUGCUGGAAGGUUACGGGAAUCUGUAAGCGCAAGCGAAGCAGUGAACUUAAGCCCCAGUAAACGGCGGCCGUAACUAUAACGGUCCUAAGGUAGCGAAAUUCCUUGUCAGGUAAGUUCUGACCCGCACGAAUGGCGUAAUGAUUUGGGCACUGUCUCAACAGCACACCCGGUGAAAUUGUAGUACUUGUAAAGAUGCAAGUUACCCGCGAUUAGACGGAAAGACCCCAUGGAGCUUCACUGCAGGCUGAUAUUGGGUUCCGGUAUUUUCUGUACAGGAUAGGUGGGAGACAGAGAAGUAUGCACGCCAGUGCAUAUGGAGUCGACGUUGGGAUACCACUCUGAGAAUACUGGAGCUCUAACCU